AUGCAACCUGAGCUCAGUCGUGAUUACCCGCCGAACUUAAGCAUAUCAUUCAGCGGAGGAAAAGAAACUAACUAG
rnacentral:rRNA from 1 species